rnacentral:rRNA from 1 species
UUACUGGGCGUAAAGCGUGCGUAGGUGGUUGUUUAAGUCUGUUGUGAAAGCCCUGGGCUCAACCUGGGAACUGCAGUGGAAACUGGACAACUAGAGUGUGGUAGAGGGUAGCGGAAUUCCCGGUGUAGCAGUGAAAUGCGUAGAGAUCGGGAGGAACAUCCAUGGCGAAGGCAGCUACCUGGACCAACACUGACACUGAGGCACGAAAGCGUGGGGAGCAAACAGGAUUAGAUACCC